UACAGAGGUCUCAAGCGUUGUUCGGAAUUACUGGGCGUAAAGGGUGCGCAGGCCGCGCGGGCAGUCAAAUGUGUAAUCCAGGGGCUCAACCCCUGAACUGCGCUUGAUACUUCCGCGCUCGAGCUUUGGAGAGGAGUCUGGAAUUCUCGGUGUAGCAGUGAAAUGCGUGGAUAUCGAGAAGAACACUUAGGGCGAAGGCAAGACUCUGGACAAAUGCUGACGCUCAUGCACGAAGGCUAGGGGUAGCGAACGGG
rnacentral:rRNA from 1 species